UCUCUCUUCUUGUUUAACUUUAAGUUGCCCUAGGGCGAUGAUGCCAACCCUUGAGCCUACAGCCGCUGGCUUCUUCUCUUUUUUUCCAUUCUUCUUCCUUUCGUUUCUAUUUUUCAUAUUUCUUUUUCAACAUUUUUUUAUUCAAAUCUAAUAGUUAAUCAAUCUCUUUUGAGGGCUUAAGUAGCGAGUCACCAUAUUUGAUGGUUACUUCCACUUGAAAGGGUGUGA
rnacentral:lncRNA from 1 species